rnacentral:rRNA from 1 species
UACAUGGGGUGCAAACGUUGCUCGGAAUUAUUGGGCGUAAAGCGCGCGUAGGCGGUUACUCAAGUCGGAUGUGAGAGCCCUCGGCUUAACUGAGGAAGUGCACCCGAAACUGAGUAGCUAGAGUACCAAAGAGGGUCGCGGAAUUCCCGGUGUAGAGGUGAAAUUCGUAGAUAUCGGGAGGAACACCGGUGGCGAAGGCGGCGACCUGGGUGGAUACUGACGCUGAGGCGCGAAAGCGUGGGGAGCAAACAGG